rnacentral:rRNA from 1 species
UACGGAGGGUGCAAGCGUUAUCCGGAUUUACUGGGUUUAAAGGGUGCGUAGGCGGCUUAAUAAGUCAUUGGUGAAAGCUCGCAGCUCAACUGCGAAACUGCCAUUGAAACUGUUUAGCUUGAAUGUGGUUGAAGUGGGCGGAAUACAACAUGUAGCGGUGAAAUGCUUAGAUAUGUUUUAGAACACCGAUUGCGAAGGCAGCUCACUAAGCCAAUAUUGACGCUGAGGCACGAAAGCGUGGGUAGCAAACAGG